rnacentral:misc_RNA from 1 species
UUAUUUAUUGUGUUUUUCACUCGGACAUCACUAAUAAGCAGAUUUUAAUGGGCCUCUGGCGGGCGCUCGCCGGUUUGUACGCGGCGCGAGAGGCCCUCGGGCCCGCCAAAGCAACAAAGGUUGGUACACAAAGGGUGAAGAGUUAGGGGCCGAGACCCCCGGGAGCGCGAAGCCCCUCUCUCAGUAAUGAUCCUUCCGCAGGUUCACCUACGGAAA